UAGAGCGAUAGGAAUUGAACCUACAAUUGAGAAAUCAAAACUCUCCGUAA
rnacentral:tRNA from 1 species